UACAAAAUAAGUAAAUCAACUUUUAAAAAGAAAGGGGGGCUUGCUGGACACAAUGGUGCACCCCUGCAAUCUCAACACGUGAAGAGCUGAGGUAGGAAUAUUGCUGAGUUUAAGAAGUGCUGAAGCCCACCCUCAUCCACAAUGGCCUAGCAUGUGACAUCCACGAAGCUGGCAAGGCCUUAGACAAGCGCCAAGCCUGUCUCUGUGUGCUCGCAUCCAGCUGUGAGGAGCCUGUGGACGUCAAGAGGGUGGAGGCACUUUGUGCUGAGCGCCAAAUCAACCUGAUUAAGGUUGAUGACAACAAGAAGCUAGGGGAAUGGGUAGGUCUCGAAGCUGAGGAGAGGGGAGCCUGGUAAAAUGGUUGGCUGCAGUUGGGUAGUGGUUAAGGACUGUGGCAAAGAAUCUCAGGCCAAAGAGUACUUCAAAUGCAAGAAAUGACUGAAUAGAACUUUCAGCUCAUUUUCUCAAAAAUAAAUAAACAAAUAAUAACAACAAAGAGUGACCUGCUUCCCUGCCAGCAUCUAAUCACCUAACCCAAGGACAGACCCUCACAGGAAAACAGGUGAGUGUGCCCACCCCUCUCCAGUUGAACCCAGGGCGGUUCCCAAUGAUCCCCCUCUCCAUCAUGACCAAAUCCAAGUCAGCUUAAAUUCUCUCUUCUCCGCCUGUCUCAGAUCCCCAGGGAAAUAGCUCUGGGCUCUGUUAGAAAGCCUGGCUGCUAGACUCAGCACCAGAAGGGACCAGCUCCCUGAAUAGCUAUCUGGGAGCAUGCAAGAUGGUUCAACAGGUGAAGGCGCUUGCCACUGAGCCUGAAACCUGAUGACUUCAAUCCUUGAGGCUCCCAUGAUAGAAGUCUCGCUGUACAGUCUAGAAUUCGCUGUGUAGAACAGGCUGACUUGGAACUCACAAAGACACAGUUACCUCUGGCUCACCAGGACUGGGACUAAAGGCAUACACUACCGUG